rnacentral:lncRNA from 1 species
UUCUUUAUUUUCAACCAUUUAUCUCAUUUUUAUGAACUACUGUAAAAAGAACAUUCUCGAAACCCUCUUGGGAAUUCCAAUCUACUGUGUAAGGAAUAUAAAUUCUAAAUUACUAUUUGCUUAUGAUAUUUUAAUAUAUAUAUAUAUUUUAAAGUUUUGGAUCUUUACAGUUUGUAUCAGAGUUGCGUUCCUCAGAACAGUUCCUUACACAAAGAUUAAGUCACUAAAAUAUAACCCGUUGCUAAACCAUUUUUUGUGAAGUACAAGUACAAGGAUAUGAGGAGAGGGAGGCCCCUACUAAACCUAGCAGCCCAGGAUGGGUCGCUUCGAGAGAAUGUUGAUCGACUCUUUGAGAUAUUUAGAGAGACUUAUCUCCGUCCAGCAGGCCUGAGAAGAAAGAAGGGAGCUAUCUGACCCUCCACC